UUGAUCAGUUUAAAAUCAGAAAAUAAGAGGUGAUGAUGUCAUUUUUGUGAAAUUCACCAGAAUUUGGAUCGAGUCAAGUAAAAAACAUGGCGUUUCCAUACCAAUGGCCGGAUCAGACGAUUGUGGAGAGGAAGAAGCAGAAUAUUACUCUUCUGUCAACUUUUUACCACCCACAUCUGAACCCACAGGAGACACUGAAGAACAAUCAAAACAAACCCAGUACAGGUUCAAUUGAAUCCUCUGUAUUGCACAAUCCUCACCCAGCCAGCCAUCAAUGACAGCAGAGAUGUUUACAGUGGGCUAGAGUCCCACUAACACAGACCCGUCCUGCCUACUACUGGUGUCAUUCAUGCCACAAAUAAUCAUAACAGCAUGUAAUCAUUCAUUAUUAACUCUGUGUAAAUAUUGAAUAAAUGUUAUUUCUGAAU